rnacentral:rRNA from 1 species
AUUGAACGCUGGCGGCAUGCCUUACACAUGCAAGUCGAACGGCAGCACGGGAGCAAUCCUGGUGGCGAGUGGCGAACGGGUGAGUAAUAUAUCGGAACGUGCCCAGUCGUGGGGAUAACGUAGCGAAAGCUACGCUAAUACCGCAUACGAUCUAUGGAUGAAAGCGGGGGAUCGCAAGACCUCGCGCGAUUGGAGCGGCCGAUAUCAGAUUAGGUAGUUGGUGAGGUAAAGGCUCACCAAGCCGACGAUCUGUAGCUGGUCUGAGAGGACGACCAGCCACACUGGGACUGAGACACGGCCCAGACUCCUACGGGAGGCAGCAGUGAGGAAUAUUGGACAAUGGGCGCAAGCCUGAUCCAGCCAUGCCGCGUGCAGGAUGACGGUCCUAUGGAUUGUAAACUGUCUUUAUACAGGAAGAAACACUCCGACGUGUCGGAGCUUGACGGUACUGUAAGAAUAAGGAUCGG